rnacentral:misc_RNA from 1 species
GAUGAAGAACGCAGUGAAAUGCGAUAAGUAAUGUGAAUUGCAGAAUUCAGUGAAUCAUCGAAUCUUUGAACGCACCUUGCGCUCCUUGGUAUUCCGAGGAGCAUGCCUGUUUGAGUGUCAUUAAUAUAUCAACCUUCUCUUUUUUGAGUUGUUUGGAUGUGGGGGUUUGCUGGCCUCUUAAAUGAUUCAGCUCCCCUGAAAUGCAUUAGCAGAACAACCUGUUCAUUAGCGUGAUAAUUAUCUAUGCUAUUGAAUGUGAGGGCAGUUCAGCUUUCUAACCGUCCUUGGACAAUUCAUCAUUAAUGUGACCUCAAAUCAGGUAGGACUACCCGCUGAACUUAAGCAUAUCAAUAAGCGAGGA